CUGCAAUAAACAUUCAUUGCUGUCGGUGGGUUUUACAUGGAAACAACUCACUGAUCAAUGAAUGCAAACUGCGG
rfam:Lepisosteus oculatus linkage group LG21, whole genome shotgun sequence.